UACGGGGGGAGCAAGCGUUGUUCGGAUUUACUGGGCGUAAAGGGCGCGUAGGCGGCCAGCACAAGUCAGUUGUGAAAUCUCCGAGCUUAACUCGGAAAGGUCAACUGAUACUGUGCGGCUAGAGUGCAGAAGGGGCAACUGGAAGUUCUUGGUGUAGCGGUGAAAUGCGUAGAUAUCAAGAGGAACACCUGCGGCGAAGGCGGGUUGCUGGGCUGACACUGACGCUGAGGCGCGAAAGCUAGGGGAGCGAACGGG
rnacentral:rRNA from 1 species